rnacentral:tRNA from 1 species
GCCGACUUAGCUCAAUAGGUAGAGCAACUGAAUCGUAAUCAGUAGGUUACGGGUUCAAUUCCUGUAGUCGGCACCA